UCACCGAAGGGUGAAAGAAAGAAUUACUUUUUUCUUUCUGCCCCCAAUCACUGUUGGCCCGUGAGCAGCACUGAUUCCCAAUGGAGGGCUUUGGCCAUGGCAGUGACGUCACAGUCUCCUGGAUCUUGGUGGAGCUCCAAAAUCAGCUCCCCAGAUGUCACCAAGACAACCUCUCAUUAGGUCAGAGCUGAGCUUAACACUCCCCGCAUGAAGACCAAGCACAGCCUUGCAAAGCUUUGCAGGGUCUUGGAGGAAGAAAGUGGAGGCCAGAAUUGACCGAGAUUUGCAAGUUUGGUUGAAGGUAGGUCUUUCAGAGGCUGCAUUAGCAUCGGGUACAGAUGAUGACACAACACUCCAGGACUUGUGGAAGCAGCAAGAGGUCAUCCACGGGCUCCAGGAGGCUCUCGGCAUUAAUGAACCCUCCCAGGAAUUUACAGUAGCGGCUCCCAGCCCCCACAUGAGGAAACUGAAACUCAAGUUGCCUCAGAUGGAUGCAAAGUAAUAAAUGGCAAAGCUGGAGUUUAGAGAAGGACCCAGUGACUCCACAGAGUCCGUGGUCAGAACCAGUACCACAUGCUCCUACCCUCAGAGGACUUGCACCCCAUUUCUGGAUCCACAGAAGGUCCCUCCUCCUGCACCUUCACCCCAAGUUAGGACUGCUCAGUCCCCACCCUGCUCCUCUCUGCCUUAUGUUCUUCACUGACAAGCAGAGACCAGGCCCCAACACCAAGAUGGGACCUGCUUGAUUCCAGCCAAGUUCCCGCCAGGAACGCAGACUGCAGCUCCCCAGCAUCCAGGCCCCUCGUGCCCAACCUCAAGGCAGUACGCAGCAAUGAAGAAGAGCUGACGGCUUGACUCCCUUCUCUGAUGCCGUGAUAUUAUCUCCCCUUAAAGCUGAAUGGGAUAAUCCAGUCACUACAUGUGGCCGUGGCUAGUGACCAUCAGCUUGGACAGGGCAUGCCCAGCUAGAUGUGCUCCUUGUCUCUCUGCUCCCAGUCCCCACAUCACAUGGGGUUGUUCAGCCACUCACCAUGAGGACCCGCCCCACAGGUAACUCACCACACACCCACAGCCUCUCACAGACGAGCCCGUGAUGGCAUCUAAUGCAUCUGCCUCGACAUUGAGAAGCCGUCUUCCAGGGCUAUUUUUUUUAUAUAUUGCACUGUGACAAACAGGAAAAAAAUAAAGACACCACAGAAAGAUGAAGCCAAGAAAGAACAAGUGAAGAACAGUGUAAAUGAGACACACCGUUAGUGACUUUUGUGGGUUCUGGAAAUCUGAGAUUUUUCUGGUUGCUCCAAUCUCUCCCAGUGCCUCAGCAAGAAAGGAGAUCAAGGAUGUGUCUACCUGGUUACCUGGUAGACUAUUUUAAACUCCAGCUAUUUAUACAGCAUUAAAUCGAAAUCAUUUCAAGCAUAA